rnacentral:lncRNA from 1 species
AAGAACCAGAUGACUUCGACUUUCUCCGAUCCGAUUUCCCCUUUGUCUGCGACUCGGCCAAGGUUUGGCAGAUGGCUUCGAGUUUAGCGUCGACGGCGGAGUGUAGCGGUUUGUACUCGCCGAAAUCGCCACCGACGGAGGAGCCAUGGUGCUUGAGGUGAGGGAAAUUGAGUCUGGCGAAGUCGCCUCGGAGCUUGUAAGCGGCUUUGUCGUAAGCUAAAGCGGCUUCUUCGGCGGUAUCGAAGGUGCCGAGCCAUAGCCGAGUUCUGUUCCUCGGAAGACGGAUCUCAGCCACCCAUUUCCCCCAAUGCCUUUGCCUCACGCCUCGAUAUAGUUUCGUCGAUUUCGGUGGAGAUCCCACGUGUUUCAUUGGAAUCCCCCUCGGUCCAAGCAGAUUUCCGGCGGUGUUGCUCUGAUUUCUUACUACCUGGUUGUUGAUCUGUCCCCAAACUGGCUGGA